AACGAACGCUGGCGGCAGGCCUAACACAUGCAAGUCGAGCGGACAUCUUCGGAUGUUAGCGGCGGACGGGUGAGUAACGCGUGGGAACGUGCCCUUUGCUUCGGAAUAGCCUCGGGAAACUGGGAGUAAUACCGGAUGUACCCUUUGGGGGAAAGAUUUAUCGGCAAAGGAUCGGCCCGCGUUGGAUUAGGUAGUUGGUGGGGUAAUGGCCUACCAAGCCGACGAUCCAUAGCUGGUUUGAGAGGAUGAUCAGCCACACUGGGACUGAGACACGGCCCAGACUCCUACGGGAGGGAGCAGUGGGGAAUCUUAGACAAUGGGGGAAACCCUGAUCUAGCCAUGCCGCGUGAGCGAUGAAGGCCUUAGGGUUGUAAAGCUCUUUCACCGGGGAAGAUAAUGACGGUACCCGGAGAAGAAGCCCCGGCUAACUCCGUG
rnacentral:rRNA from 1 species